CUUACUCGCUUUUUUGUACAUAAACUUUUAUCGGAACAUAGAUAUGCCCAUUCUUUUUUUUUUUUUUUUUUUUAAUUUUAUUGGAAAUAGUUGAUUUUAAAAGUUGGGUUAGUUCGCGUCGUGGCUCAGCAAAAACGAAUCUGACUUGCAUCCAUGAGGAUGCAGGUUCGAUCCCUGGCUUCACUCAGUGGGUUAAGGAUCCUGCUGCUGUCGUGAGCUGUGGUAUAGGUUGCAGACAUGGCUGGGACCUGGCAUUGCUGUGGCUGUGGUGUAGGCCGGUGGCUAUAGCUCCAAUUCAACCCCUAGCCUGGGAACCUCCAUAUGCCGCGGGAGCAGCCCUAGAAAGGGGCGGCGGGGGUGUGGGGUAGUUCGCUUGUGGCUCAGGUCACUGCUGUGGUAGGUUCAGUCCCUGGCCAGGGAACUUUCACAUGCUGCAGACUUGGCCGUAGAAACAAACAACACAAAAAUCCUAAAAUUUUUACUGUUGGGCCCUUUACCUGGGGGUCAUAAAGAUCAUUGACUUUCUAUGAAAGUUGUUCCCUGACUUAUUUCCACAGAUGAGAGUGGGAGCCUCAUCUAUGAAACUUUAAUGUUUCUCUUUGUUGGUAAACUUUCUCCUGGGCUUCAUUUUCCAGAUUAGAAAAGAGUUGCAAACUAGCAACCGCAGGCUGCUUCUGGCUAUAAACAAAUUUUCUUUAAUCCAAACGUUUUUAUUUUAUUUUAUUUUAAAUUUAUUUUAUUAUUUUUUUAUUACUCAAUGAGUUUAUCACAUCUGUAGCUGUAUAAUGAUCAUCACAAUCCAAUUUCACAGGAUUUCCAUCCCACAACCCAAGCACAUCCCUCCACCCCCCAAACUGUUUCCUCUGGAGACCAUAAGUUUUUCAAUGUCUGUGAGUCAGCAUCUGUUCUGCAAAGAAGUUUAGUCUGUCCUUUUUUCAGAUUCCACAUGUCAGUGAAAUCAUUGGAUGUUGGUGUCUCAUUGUCUGGCUGACUUCACUUAGCAUGGUAAUUUCUAGGUCCAUCCAUGUUGCUAAAAAUGCUGUAUUUCAUUCAUUUUAAUGGCUGAGUCAUAUUCCACUGUGUAUNUUCAUUCAUUUUAAUGGCUGAGUCAUAUUCCACUGUGUAUAUGUACCACAUCUUCUUGAUCCACUCCUCUGUCGAUGGACAUUGAGGUUGUUUCCAUGUCUUGGCUAUUGUAAAUAGUGCUGCAAUGAACAUUGGAGUACACGUGUCUUUGCGAGUCAUGGUUUUCUCUGGAUAGAUGCCCAGGAGUGGGAUUGCUGGGUCAAAUGGUAGUUCUAUUUUUAGUUUUCUGAGGCAUCUCCAUACUGCUUUCCACAGUGGUUGCACCAAUUUACAAUCCCACCA
rnacentral:lncRNA from 1 species